GAUACAGGUGCCUGAGUGUAGACAGUGAAUCUACAGAUGUUGUACAUCAGGAUGCAGUAAAAAAUAAUACUUUAAGUGAUCACUUACAUGCCGUAAACUGUUAUGCCAUGUCAAACUACAAGCAGGAACAGUGCUGUGGGAAUGCAAGCAAAAUUUCUAUUCAAACCACUGUGCCAGAAAAUAAUACCAUAAACAAAACAAAGUAUGCAGUCAUAAAUCAUAAAGAAAUAGAAAUUGUGUUAUAUGCAUACAGUCAAGGCAGAGGAAUUACCAAAACGUUGCACUACCAGUAUAGACUGAGAGUUAUAGGUUGCGUGAAAUCAGGCACUUGUAUGCGAGAAAUCGUAAAAAGUUGUAGGCCUAUAAACGAAAAUAGCAAGACAUAGAACCAAUGCAUUGUAAUCCAUGGUAGUGCAAAUGAUGCCUAUAGAAAUAAAUUAAUGGAAGAAACUUGCAAUUUGAGUCUUGUUAUAAUUCAAAUACAGAAUUAAUCUGUUGUUGUUAUUGAUAUUCCACACAGGCACAACCUAAUUGCUUCAGCCUAUGUAAACAAAGAAAUUCAGAAAGCAAGCAGGAUAUCCAAAAAAAACUUUGCAAAUCAACCACAAAUGCUUUAUUUUUCGCCACAGAUGACUUCAAAAGAGCUCAUUUCACAAAAUGUGGGCUGCACCUAAACAAAAAGGGCAACAUAUAUUUGGCCUAAAAUGUCAAGGAUUCUCUGAAAGCUACAUCAAGUAGUUGGACUGUGGGAUCCAUUCCUCUACUGCCAGAAGGAUCAGACUCAGAACCUGCAGCAGCAGAAACUGGAUUACAAAUUGAAGCAGAAAUAUACAGUUGCUACAAUAGCAGCAGCAGCAGCAGGAGAAACAAAAUCAGUGGCUGAGAAAAUUGUAACAGUAGCAGUAUCUUCACCAACAUUAACAGGAACAACAGCAUCAACAACAAACAGUAGAAGCACCUGCAGAAAUAGCAGUAUCACAAAAGGAUACCAGCCCAUCACAGUGGAGACACAGCUUCAGACAACAAGCCAAGGAUGAAAAAUAUCAAGAGGAUGCAGACCUCCACCUCACAGCAAAGAUUUUCUGUGGGGGGGACAAAAUAAAAACUCACAGAUGGGGUGCAGAAGCUGCCAGCUCCAGACAUCAGCAAGGGGGGAUGGCAAUUGUGUGUCUCCACCUCCUGUGAAGUCUUGCUUGUUCUUUGGACGUGGUGCCUUGCAGGAUGAGUGGCAAAAAGAACCUCAAUACUUUGAAGGCCUCUUCCAGCUCUUGGCCCUCAACAGAAGGUGACAAAGUCACAUGGCAAGAGUUGGUGGCAAGAAUAACAGGUCCACUACAUCAUGAAAAUUUAAGAAAGGCAACCAUACAGGAAAGUAAUUAAAGUAAAAAGUGUCACAGAUAAUAUCUGGGUGACAGGUCACUGGGAAGCCAACACAUCUUAUUGACUCAGUCCAGCUAUAGAACAGUGAUGAUACAUUCCAGUUUGGUGACCACGACAGGACGUGGGUUGUAACGUGCAAUAAGCCAUUCGGACCAUAUACAUUCUCAAAUUUAUGACCUUAUCCUUUUUUUAUCUUAUUUGAAAUGUUUUAAACUCCACCUGUAUAAUAUGUCAUGCAAACACAAUUAACCCCUGUGAUUAAAAAACAAAUUUCAUAAAAUUACUGUACUACAAAAAGAUAUAGAUAUAUUUGUUUAUGUGAUAUAUAUUAUCAUAAUUGUUCUAUUGUAUGAAUGAGUUAAUUUCAUUUUUUGUCAAUUAUUUUCGAUUUAAUGUUCUAUGUUCUGUGUUUCAAUCUUAGUAUGAAUAUAUCUUUACUGAUGUAAUUUGGAACGAUGUUAACUCGGUGCGGUUGGCUUGCAUGUCUAUGUGGCGGGAAGGAAGGAGGGAGAAGUGUAAAGUUUUCUGGAGUUGCGUAUAAAUGGAAUGUAUUUCACUUGAUGAACAUCAUAAAUUUGUGGUAGCAAG